GCUGGGUGUGGUGGUGCACAUCUGUAAUCCCAGCUACUCGGGAGGCUGAGGCAGGAGAAUCGUUUGAACCCAGGAGGCGGAGGUUGCAGUGAGCUGAGAUUGUGCCACUGCAUUCCAGCCUGGGCAACAGAGUGAGACUCUGUCUCAA
ensembl:misc_RNA Metazoa_SRP Metazoan signal recognition particle RNA